rnacentral:rRNA from 1 species
GUAUUUUGACCGUGCUAAGGUAGCAUAAUCAUUAGUUUCUUAAUUAGAAGCUGGAAUGAAAGGUUUGAUGAAAAAACUGCUGUCUCAUUUUUAUAAUUUUGAAUUUUAUUUUUAAGUAAAAAAGCUUAAAUUUAAAUAAAAGACGAGAAGACCCUAUAGAGUUUAAUAUUUAAAGUAUAUAAAUUAUAAAUUAUAGAAUUAAUUUUUAUUGCGUAAAAAUAUUUAAUUGGGGUGAUUUAAAAAUUAAGUUAACUUUUUUUUUUAAUAAACAUUGAUAUAUGAAGUUUAAUGAUCCUAAAAUUUAUUUUAGAUUAAAAGAAAAAAUUACCUUAGGGAUAACAGCGUUAUUUUUUCUAAGAGU